UACGGGGGGUGCGAGCGUUGUCCGGAAUCACUGGGCGUAAAGGGCGCGUAGGUGGUUUGAUAAGGGUGUGGUGAAAGCCCGGGGCUCAACCCCGGGUCUGCCGUGCCGACUGUUGAACUCGAGGGCUGUAGAGGCAGACGGAAUUCCGGGUGUAGCGGUGGAAUGCGUAGAGAUCCGGAGGAAGACCGGUGGCGAAGGCGGUCUGCUGGGCAGUUUCUGACACUGAUGCGCGACAGCGUGGGGAGCAAACAGGAUUAGAUACCCCUUGUAGUCC
rnacentral:rRNA from 1 species